rnacentral:rRNA from 1 species
UACGGAGGGUGCGAGCGUUGUCCGGAAUUAUUGGGCGUAAAGAGCUUGUAGGCGGUUUGUCGCGUCUGCUGUGAAAUUUCGGGGCUCAACCCCGAACUUGCAGUGGGUACGGGCAGACUAGAGUGUGGUAGGGGAGACUGGAAUUCCUGGUGUAGCGGUGAAAUGCGCAGAUAUCAGGAGGAACACCGAUGGCGAAGGCAGGUCUCUGGGCCAUAACUGACGCUGAGAAGCGAAAAGCAUGGGGAGCGAACAGG